GACGAACGCUGGCGGCGUGCCUAAUACAUGCAAGUCGAGCGGAUUGAUGGGAGCUUGCUCCCUGAUAUCAGCGGCGGACGGGUGAGUAACACGUGGGCAACCUGCCUAUAAGACUGGGAUAACUUCGGGAAACCGGAGCUAAUACCGGAUAAUCACUUUCCUCUCAUGAGGAAAGGCUGAAAGAUGGUUUACGCUAUCACUUAUAGAUGGGCCCGCGGCGCAUUAGCUAGUUGGUGAGGUAACGGCUCACCAAGGCAACGAUGCGUAGCCGACCUGAGAGGGUGAUCGGCCACACUGGGACUGAGACACGGCCCAGACUCCUACGGGAGGCAGCGGUAGGGAAUCUUCCGCAAUGGACGAAAGUCUGACGGAGCAACGCCGCGUGAGUGAUAAAGGUUUUCGGAUCGUAAAACUCUGUUGUCAGGGAAGAACAAGUACGAGAGUAACUGCUCGUACCUUGACGGUACCUAACCAGAAAGCCACGGCUAACUACGUGCCAGCCGCCGCCGUAA
rnacentral:rRNA from 1 species